CGAAUGGGGGAACCCAACUGAUACUUUGUUAUUGUUUAACAUUAUGAUGUGCUCGUACGAGCAAAAUGAACCGGUUCACACUGGGAAAUUUUGUCACGACGUGUACGGAGUGUUCGAUCAAUAAUAGGGUAAAACAGUUAUUAAUUACCUGAAUAUAUAGGGUUUUUAAAGCAAACCCGGGGAACUGAAACAUCUAAGUACCCGGAGGAAAGGAAAUCAAUAGAUACUCCCUUAGUAGCGGCGAGCGAACGGGGACCAGCCGAGCUAUGAAUGUGACUAGAACCAUCUGGAAUGUUGGGCGAUAUGGGUGACAGCCCCGUAUAGGAAGCAUGAUUAGACGUAUUAAGUAGGGCGGAACAGCGAAAAAUUCUGUCUGAACAUCCGGAGG
rnacentral:rRNA from 1 species